rnacentral:tRNA from 1 species
UCAAGAAUUAGUUUAAAAAAUAUUAAUUUUGGAAAUUAAAGAUGAAAUUUUUCAUUCUUGAA